CUUAAUGUUGCCUCGGCGGAUCAGCCCGCGCCCCGUAAAACGGGACGGCCCGCCAGAGGACCCAAACUCUAAUGUUUCUUAUUGUAACUUCUGAGUAAAACAAACAAAUAAAUCAAAACUUUCAACAACGGAUCUCUUGGUUCUGGCAUCGAUGAAGAACGCAGCAAAAUGCGAUAAGUAAUGUGAAUUGCAGAAUUCAGUGAAUCAUCGAAUCUUUGAACGCACAUUGCGCCCGCUGGUAUUCCGGCGGGCAUGCCUGUUCGAGCGUCAUUUCAACCCUCAAGCCCCCGGGUUUGGUGUUGGGGAUCGGCUCUGCCUUCUGGCGGUGCCGCCCCCGAAAUACAUUGGCGGUCUCGCUGCAGCCUCCAUUGCGUAGUAGCUAACACCUCGCAACUGGAACGCGGCGCGGCCAUGCCGUAAAACCCCAACUUCUGAAUGUUGACCUCGGAUCAGGUAGGAAUACCCGCUGAACUUAAGCAUAUCAAUUAAGCGGAGGA
rnacentral:misc_RNA from 1 species